rnacentral:rRNA from 1 species
CAUAGGUUAAUGAGGCGAACCGGGGGAACUGAAACAUCUAAGUACCCCGAGGAAAAGAAAUCAACCGAGAUUCCCCCAGUAGCGGCGAGCGAACGGGGAGGAGCCCAGAGCCUGAAUCAGUGUGUGUGUUAGUGGAAGCGUCUGGAAAGGCGCGCGAUACAGGGUGACAGCCCCGUACACAAAAAUGCACAUGCUGUGAGCUCGAUGAGUAGGGCGGGACACGUGGUAUCCUGUCUGAAUAUGGGGGGACCAUCCUCCAAGGCUAAAUACUCCUGACUGACCGAUAGUGAACCAGUACCGUGAGGGAAAGGCGAAAAGAACCCCGGCGAGGGGAGUGAAAAAGAACCUGAAACCGUGUACGUACAAGCAGUGGGAGCACAGAGCAAUCUGUGUGACUGCGUACCUUUUGUAUAAUGGGUCAGCGACUUAUAUUCUGUAGCAAGGUUAACCGAAUAGGGGAGCCGAAGGGAAACCGAGUCUUAACUGGGCGUUAAGUUGCAGGGUAUAGACCCGAAACCCGGUGAUCUAGCCAUGGGCAGGUUGAAGGUUGGGUAACACUAACUGGAGGACCGAACCGACUAAUGUUGAAAAAUUAGCGGAUGACUUGUGGCUGGGGGUGAAAGGCCAAUCAAACCGGGAGAUAGCUGGUUCUCCCCGAAAGCUAUUUAGGUAGCGCCUCGUGAAUUCAUCUCCGGGGGUAGAGCACUGUUUCGGCAAGGGGGUCAUCCCGACUUACCAACCCGAUGCAAACUGCGAAUACCGGAGAAUGUUAUCACGGGAGACACACGGCGGGUGCUAACGUCCGUCGUGAAGAGGGAAACAACCCAGACCGCCAGCUAAGGUCCCAAAGUCAUGGUUAAGUGGGAAACGAUGUGGGAAGGCCCAGACAGCCAGGAUGUUGGCUUAGAAGCAGCCAUCAUUUAAAGAAAGCGUAAUAGCUCACUGGUCGAGUCGGCCUGCGCGGAAGAUGUAACGGGGCUAAACCAUGCACCGAAGCUGCGGCAGCGACGCUUAUGCGUUGUUGGGUAGGGGAGCGUUCUGUAAGCCUGCGAAGGUGUGCUGUGAGGCAUGCUGGAGGUAUCAGAAGUGCGAAUGCUGACAUAAGUAACGAUAAAGCGGGUGAAAAGCCCGCUCGCCGGAAGACCAAGGGUUCCUGUCCAACGUUAAUCGGGGCAGGGUGAGUCGACCCCUAAGGCGAGGCCGAAAGGCGUAGUCGAUGGGAAACAGGUUAAUAUUCCUGUACUUGGUGUUACUGCGAAGGGGGGACGGAGAAGGCUAUGUUGGCCGGGCGACGGUUGUCCCGGUUUAAGCGUGUAGGCUGGUUUUCCAGGCAAAUCCGG